GAUGAACGCUAGCGGCAGGCUUAAUACAUGCAAGUCAAGGGGUGCAAUACAACCGGCGCACGGGUGGAGUAACGCGUACACAACAUACCAUAUACUGGAGUAUAGCUUUGGGUAAACUAGAAGGUAAUCCUCCAUAACAUUGCGAGAGGGCAUCUGAUUGCAAUUAAAAGUUUCGGCGGUAUAUGAUUGGUGUGCGUUUGAUUAGCUAGUUGGUAGGGUAACGGCCUACCAAGGCGACGAUCAAUAGCUGGCGUGAGAGCGCGACCAGCCACACUGGAACUGAGACACGGUCCAGACUCCUACGGGAGGCAGCAGUAGGGAAUAUUGGACAAUGGAGGAAACUCUGAUCCAGCCAUGCCGCGUGAUAGAUGAAGGCCCUCCUGGG
rnacentral:rRNA from 1 species